rnacentral:lncRNA from 1 species
AGAAGUCAACACACUUAAGGAGCAAGGUAAUUUAUAUUAGCUCUCUUUUUUUUUUUUUUUUUUUUUUUGAGGAAGAUAGCCCUGAGCUCACUACUGCCAAUCCUCCUCUUUUUGCUGAGGAAGACUGGCCCUGAGCUAACAUCCAUGCCCAUCUUCCUCUACUUUAUAUGUGGGAUGCCUACCACAGCAUGGCUUUUGCCAAGCGGUGCCAUGUCCGCACCGGGAUCAGAACCAGCGAACCCUCCUUGGCCGAGAAGCGGAACAUGCAAACAUAACCGCUGCACCAUUGGGCCAGCCCCCAAUUUAUAUUAUCUCUUAUCUUCAAAAACAAAUAAAUGAACAAACUCAGCAUCUGUGACAGAACUGGCACGUAGUUGGUACAUAAUAAAUGGGAGCUACUAGGAUUGAUCUCCAUUGCUGCCAUGUUGUUCUUCAGUGUUUAAUAAUGGUAACUGAGUUUUUAGGCCCAAAAGGUGCUUUUUUUACACAGAAGGUAAUAUUUAUAGUUCCUUGUGUUUGUGUUAAUAUUCCAUUUAUAAAAGGUAUAAAUUUUAUAACCUAGUUUUAUGUUUUUACUUUUAACCUAUAAAUCUUAUUACUAUUUGCAAAUAAAAUUGUUACAAUUUUAAACACUUAACUUUAUUUGCUACCUAAUUAAUGCACAAUUAACUUAUAAAUUUGAUGGAUUAAAUCUCUUAAAUGUUAACACUGUUUAGAAACUGUAUUAACUAGAUUUUCUUAGACAUUUCAAACUAUCAUUGCCAAUUUGAUAAACUGAUUCUCUCAAAUAUUUCAAACACGUAAUAAGGCAAACUGACAAAUCUAACAUGCAAGAUAGUUGUAAUCUUUGUAAAACUCUCGUGAAUUUAAUAAAUCAGAUUUAUAAAUUUACUAAAGCAGACUCUCUUAUCCGUUUCAAACAUCUUAAAACAGAUAAAGCCUAUACAAAGCAGGACAAUAACUAUGAAACAGCUUACACAAAAGGAUCAUCUCUAUUUGAAUUUCUACCUUCCUGGAACGGCACACUCAGUUACCCUACUGAAGGGAGCAGACUGCCAUCAAGAGCCUGCUGUGUGCGACAGAGAAAGACAAACACUAUAUCUGUCUUCCAAAGUAAUUUACUGAGAAAGGAAACAUCUUCUCUACCUUAAGGAAUUAUCUUUCUAUCGAGACAGCUAAGACAUCUACAUAAAUCACCUAUAAAAAAGGGCAAAAAAAGAAGACUGCUAUACAAGCAUUUUAAGCACAUUUCUAAAAGAUUACUGUGAUUGACAGAAUUCGAAGAUGGCUCCUAUGAGCUGUGCCCACUGGUGUUACUCAUAUUAUGAUGUUACCUUGCAUGGCAAAAAUGGAUUUCCCAGAUGUAACUAGAGUUGAUAAUCAGUUGACGUUGAGAUAGGCAGGUUACCCAGCUGGACUCCCGUCAUCACACAGCCCUUUAAAAGUGGGGAGUUUUCUCUGGCUGGUGGCCAAAGGAGGAGUCGGGGAGAUUGGAAGCCUGAGAGGAAGUGAAUGUGAAGGAAGCUGUUGUCAAGAUGGAGGGAACCUCAGAGCAAGGACCUGAGAGGGCCUCUAGGAACUGAUGCUGUCCCUAAGUGAAGCCACCAAGGAAGGGGGGACCUUAGCCCUGUCACCACAAAGAACUGAAUUCUGCCAACAAUCUGAAUGCAUUUGGAAGCAAUUCUUCCCCAGAGGCCCCCAAUAAGAGCCCCAUCAGACUGACACUUUGAUUCAGGCUUUGAACCUACGCAGAGAACUCCGUCGAACCUGUCCAGUCUUCUGACCUGUGGAGCUGUGAGCUAAGCAGUGGAUGGGGUUUUAAGUCACAUGUUCGUGGUAAUUAGUUAAGCGGCCGGAGAAGACAAAUACAAUAAAAUUUCUCCUCAAAUCCGAAGACUCA